rnacentral:snRNA from 1 species
AGCUUUGUGCAGUGGCAGUAUCAUAGCUAAUGAGGUUUAUCUAAGGUGUGAUUACUGUUAAUUAAAAACUCUUCCAAUAUGAUGUACAACAGGUGCC